rnacentral:rRNA from 1 species
GACAGAGGGUGCAAACGUUGUUCGGAAUUACUGGGCGUAAAGCGCGUGUAGGUGGCGAGGCAAGUCGGGUGUGAAAGCCCUGGGCUCAACCCAGGAAGUGCACUCGAUACUGCCUAGCUAGAGUCCCGGAGAGGUUGGUGGAACUCUCGGUGUAGAGGUGAAAUUCGUAGAUAUCGAGAAGAACACCGGUGGCGAAGGCGGCUCACUGGCUCGUAACUGACGCUCAUGCACGACAGCGUGGGGAUCAAACCAGGUAGUAGAAACCCAC